UGAAAAUGGUGCCACCCAGCUACCCAGUCUCCAGUAUCGGAACUCUGUUCUCUCGAAUCAGCAGUUACACACCUGUCCUCUGUCUUCAGUUUUUGUCCACUCCCUGCAUUUUCCCUGUCAGUGACCAGGCCCUAGGCAGCACCUCUCUCCCAAGUUUUGUCUCAGAUGCGGCUGUUUUCCCUGGCCCCUUAUUUCUGAAGGACUGCGGCUUUGACGUGUUCUGCCCCUCUGUGGGAGAGUCUCACCGAGCAAUGGCCAAAUGUCGGUUGCACCCAGAAACGCCCGCUGAACCCUGUUGUUGCCGGUGCCCGGAGACUGUGGCCAUGUACUAGCCCACCCCAGAAAAUUUCAUGAGAUAGUGUAGCAGCAGCGUUUCAGGGAUUAUGGAAAAAUCACAACACACAUCUGGCACCAGUCUUCACUCUUAAUGACCUUGCCCCGGCACCAGCAAAUGUGGCCACCUUCUGGGUCUGCUGGGACACGGUGGCUUUACCAGUCUCUACCAAAUGUCCUUCCAUCAGUGGAACCGUUUUUCCCCUUGUGGCCUGAGAAUCUCCCGGACCCUACUCUGUUCCUGGGAAUCACCCUUCCCACCAGAGCACCACCAGACAAUUUGGGCAUGUGAGACCGUCUACCCUAUGAGAUCAUGAUCUACGUGGAGGCAAGGCCUAUGUCUUGGUGACUGUCAUAGUUCCUGAAAGAUAGGUUUUCCAACAGAAAGGCAGAGCAUGGAGGCCUCACCAUUAAAAGAAGAACCAGGAAUCCUGUGGGCUUCAUGUAAUAAAAAAGCUUGAAGAUUUUUUCUAGAUAUGUCUCCUAUAGCAAGGGAAAUAAAAGCAAAAAUAAACUA